AGCCACGUGGCCUAAUGGAUAGGGCGUCUGACUUCGGAUUAGAAGCUUGAGGGUUCGAAUCCCUUCGUGGUUA